GGAGUUGUGGCCCAGUGGGUUAAGGCCCUGGCCUGAAGAGCCGGCAUCAGGAGACAGGUGCCAGUUUGAGUCCUGGCUGCUCCA
rnacentral:tRNA from 1 species